rnacentral:rRNA from 1 species
UACGAAGGGGGCUAGCGUUGUUCGGAAUCACUGGGCGUAAAGGGCGCGUAGGCGGCUUUAUAAGUCGGGGGUGAAAGCCUGUGGCUCAACCACAGAACUGCCUUCGAUACUGGAGAGCUCGAGUCCGGGAGAGGUGAGUGGAACUGCGAGUGUAGAGGUGAAAUUCGUAGAUAUUCGCAAGAACACCAGUGGCGAAGGCGGCUCACUGGCCCGGUACUGACGCUGAGGUGCGAAAGCGUGGGGAGCAAACAGG